UCCCCUCCCCUUGUGUGCCCUCUUUUGAUCCCUUCUAUGCCACCUUUAGCCCGCCUUCUGUGCCUACUUUUCCCUGCUUUAGUCUUCCUCCCCACCUGUUCCCUUCUUUAGCUCCCCUGUACCCGCUCAGCCUCACCUGACCGCGGUAGGAGAAUUUCUGUUCCUCUACCCGGACUGACAGGAAGCAGUUCUGUGCUUCUGCGUUCUCUGUGAGCACUUCCUGUCAGACCAGGUAAGUGAACAGAAGCUCCCCUACCGCCUAUCGCCUGCUCAGUCACGGUACAUACUGUGACCGGCAGGAGGGGAGCGCUAUGCAGUGUGCUCCCCUCCUGUCGGUCACCCAGAGAUCGCUCCCCACGCACCCCCUAAUGAGGACAAAGAGCCCCCAUCCGCAGGGGGCCUUGCGGGCCUUGUGCCCCUUCUGCCACUGCAUUGCGCCCUGCUCACUCCGGCAGAGUGUGCAGGCCCCGGGGGGCAAGUGCACCCCUUGCACCCGCUGGCACCCAUGUAUAUAUACAUU